rnacentral:rRNA from 1 species
CCUACGGGUGGCAGCAGUGGGGAAUAUUGGGCAAUGGGCGCAAGCCUGACCCAGCAACGCCGCGUGAAGGAAGACGGCUCUCGGGUUGUAAACCUCUUUUGACAGGGAAGAGCAGAAGACGGUACCUGUCGAAUAAGCCACGGCUAACUACGUGCCAGCAGCCGCGGUAAUACGUAGGUGGCAAGCGUUAUCCGGAUUUACUGGGUGUAAAGGGCGUGUAGCCGGGCUGAGAAGUCAGAUGUGAAAUCCCGGGGCUCAACCCCCGAACUGCAUUUGAAACUGUUGGUCUUGAGUAUCGGAGAGGCAGGCGGAAUUCCUGGUGUAGCGGUGAAAUGCGUAGAGAUCAGGAAGAACACCAAUGGCGAAGGCAGCCUACUAGACGACAACUGACGGUGAGGCACGAAAGCGUGGGGAGCAAACAGGAUUAGAUACCCGGGUAGUC